rnacentral:rRNA from 1 species
AACGCGAAGAACCUUACCAAAUCUUGACAUCCUCUGACCACCCUGGAGACAGGGUUUCCCUUCGGGGCAGAGUGACAGGUGGUGCAUGGUUGUCGUCAGCUCGUGUCGUGAGAUGUUGGGUUAAGUCCCGCAACGAGCGCAACCCUUAUCAUUAGUUGCCAGCAUUCAGUUGGGCACUCUAAUGAGACUGCCGGUGACAAACCGGAGGAAGGUGGGGAUGACGUCAAAUCAUCAUGCCCCUUAUGAUUUGGGCUACACACGUGCUACAAUGGACAGGUUACAAAGGGCAGCUAAGCCGCGAGGCCAAGCGAAUCCCAUAAAACUGUUCUCAGUUCGGAUUGGAGUCUGCAACUCGACUCCAUGAAGCUGGAAUCGCUAGUA